rnacentral:rRNA from 1 species
UACGUAGGUGGCAAGCGUUGUCCGGAAUUAUUGGGCGUAAAGAGCUCGUAGGCGGUCUGUCGCGUCUGCUGUGAAAACCCGAGGCUCAACCUCGGGCCUGCAGUGGGUACGGGCAGACUAGAGUGCGGUAGGGGAGAUUGGAAUUCCUGGUGUAGCGGUGGAAUGCGCAGAUAUCAGGAGGAACACCGAUGGCGAAGGCAGAUCUCUGGGCCGUAACUGACGCUGAGGAGCGAAAGCGUGGGGAGCGAACAGG